UUUAAACAUGAUGAAUGAGUAGGUGUGGAGUUGGCGUUGUGUGAACCAAGCUAUUGAAAUGGAUAAAACCCAGCGUCCGAGAAGACAAAAAGGGUAUUGAUCGAGCCAUUCAACGUUAGUUACUAUAUCGGCUAAACAUCGUUCAAAUUUCUAUAGGUAAUUCCCCAAAUCUCUUUGUUCUUCCAAUAUUAUUUCUGGAAGGAAUCGUUGUUGGUAUGGAUAACAAGGAAGUUGGGAAGGAGGUUUUUGAGGAAGCCAUAAGGGAGUCACUGAUUUCAAUAUCUCACUCAGCUCCAGCAAGGAAGAAAGCUGCUGCAGCUUCUGGUUUGGAUUUGCAGAAUGGGGUGAAGGGUGUAGGAGAUGGUAAUGGUGAUGACAAGUACAGGUCUAAGUUGAUUUCAAUAUCCUUCUCUAACUCACCAGAUGCCAAAGUUUAACCUGGAGAAGUUUAGGGAUGGCUUUGCUGAUAUAGCCAGUUUUCAUGUUUCUGCUAUGUUGUUGUCAUAUGUUGUUAUUUGGAGAGGAAGCAAAACUAUGCUUUCAUCUUUUCAUAUCAAAAGCUUGCUUAAUAAUUGUAUGUUUUUUUUUUUUUUUUUUUUU